rnacentral:rRNA from 1 species
GACGAACGCUGGCGGCGUGCUUAACACAUGCAAGUCGAACGGUGAAGCGCCUUCCUUUUUGGUGGGUGUGGAUGAGUGGCGAACGGGUGAGUAACACGUGAGUAACCUGCCCCCUUCUUCUGGAUAACCGCAUGAAAGUGUGGCUAAUACGGGAUAUUCUGGGUCUGUCGCAUGAUGGGUCUGGGAAAGAUAUUGUUUCGGUGGGGGAGGGGCUCGCGGCCUAUCAGCUUGUUGGUGGGGUGAUGGCCUACCAAGGCGGUGACGGGUAGCCGGCCUGAGAGGGUGGACGGUCACACUGGGACUGAGACACGGCCCAGACUACUACGGGAGGCAGCAGUGGGGAAUAUUGCACAAUGGGCGCAAGCCUGAUGCAGCGACGCCGCGUGAGGGAUGGAGGCCUUCGGGUUGUGAACCUCUUUCGCCAGUGAAGCAGGCCUGCCUCGUUUGUGGGUGGGUUGACGGUAGCUGGAUAAGAAGCGCCGGCUAACUACGUG